AGAUGUGAGGGCGAUCUAGCUGCCACAUCUGUUACCCCACUGAUCACCAGGGUUGAUUCAGCUGAUCUGGCCUGCUAGGCGGGUCUCCCCUUCCUCCCUCACUGCUCCAUAUGCGUCCCUCCUGAAGCUGCUGUGUGCUUGUUCGAGGAGGACGACCACCCCCGAAUAGAGGAGGACCGGUCUUCAGUCAAGGGUAUAGGAGUAGCCGCACUCCCCUGCUAGACCCUCCAAACAAGCUCUCAGAAAUCAUUCUCAUAAAUGAGCCCGAAAUGAUAUUUAGGGCGUGACAGAACCUUCACUUUAGCCAGUAUGGAAGGUGUCACU
rnacentral:snRNA from 1 species